rnacentral:rRNA from 1 species
GGGCCCGCACAAGCGGUGGAGCAUGUGGUUUAAUUCGAUGAUACGCGAGGAACCUUACCAGGGCUUAAAUGUAGUCUGACAGCUUUAGAGAUAGAGUUUUCUUCGGACAGAUUACAAGGUGCUGCAUGGUUGUCGUCAGCUCGUGCCGUGAGGUGUCAGGUUAAGUCCGGCAACGAGCGCAACCCACAUCCCUAGUUGCCAGCAGUUCGGCUGGGCACUCUAUGGAAACUGCCUGUGAUAAGCAGGAGGAAGGUGUGGAUGACGUCAAGUCCUCAUGGCCCUUACGGGUUGGGCUACACACGUGCUACAAUGGUAGUGACAAUGGGUUAAUCCCAAAAAGCUAAUCUCAGUUCGGAUUGGGGUCUGCAACUCGACCCCAUGAAGUCGGAAUCGCUAG